rnacentral:rRNA from 1 species
UGAGGAAUAUUGCACAAUGGGCGCAAGCCUGAUGCAGCGACGCCGCGUGUGGGAUGAAGGGGCUACGCCUCGUAAACCACUGUAGCCCGGGACGAAAAACGCCUUAGAGGCGUUAGACGGUACCGGGAAAGUAAGGGUCGGCUAACUACGUGCCAGCAGCCGCGGUAAUACGUAGGACCCAAGCGUUGUCCGGAUUUACUGGGUGUAAAGGGCGUGUAGGCGGUUUCUCAAGUCCGAUGCUAAAGACCGAAGCUCAACUUCGGGAGUGCGUUCGAUACUGUGAGGCUAGACGGUCGGAGAGGGUAGCGGAAUUUCCUGAGUAGCGGUGAAAUGCGCAGAUACAGGAAGGAACGCCAAUAGCGAAAGCAGCUACCUGGACGAUUUGUGACGCUGAGGCGCGAAAGCGUGGGGAGCAAACC